GACCGCCAGUAAAAAUCGAUUUUCACUGGCGGUUUUAUUACGUCGACCGCCAGUGAAAAUCGAUUUUCACUGGCGGUU
rnacentral:pre_miRNA from 7 species